rnacentral:rRNA from 1 species
ACGAAAAAUAAUUUUUCGUGGCGUACGGGUGAGUAAUACACAGGAAUCUGCCUUUUAGUUCAGGAUAAAAUUCUGAAUAACAUAAGAAAACUUUUCGCUAAAAGAUGAGCCUGUGUAGGAUUAGGUAGUUGGUAUUUGGGUAAAGGCCUACCAAGCCUAUGAUCCUUAGCUGUUCUGAGAGGUUGUACAGCCACACUGGGACUGAGACAAGGCCCAGGCUUCAUUUGGAGCCAGCAGUGAGGAAUUUUGGACAAUGAGCGAAAGCUUGAUCCAGCAAUACUACAUGAGUGAUGAAGGCUUUCAAGUUGUAAAACUCUUUGGUUGAGGAGGAUAAUGACAGUACUCAACAAAAUAGCCCCGGCUAACUUCGUGCCAGCAGCCGCGGUAAUACGAAGGGGGCGAGCGUUAUCCGGAAUGACUGGGCGUAAAGGGUCCGUAGGCAGCAUUUUUUGUUAGAGGUUAAAUAAAAAGCUUAACUUUUUUCCGCUUCUAAAACGUAAAUGCUUUGAGUUUGAUAGGAGAUAGCAGAAUUUCACAUGGAGGGGUGAUAUCCGUAGAUAUGUGAAGGAAUACCAGAGGCGAAGGCGGCUAUCUAGAUCAAUACUGACGUUGAGGGACGAAAGCAUGGGGAGCAAACAGGAUUAGAUACCCUGGUAGUCCAUGCCCUAAAAGAUGAGUGCUCGUGCUUAGAUAUUUUUAGGCACUUAGUUAACACGUUAAGCACUCCGCCUGGGGAGUACGACCGCAAGGUUGGAACUCAAAGGAAUUGACGGGGGCCUAUACAAGUGGUGGAGCAUGUGGUUUAAUGCGACAAUACGCGCGAAACCUUACCAGUUCUUGACAUAAAAAAGAAAAAGUUUGAAAGGACAAUUUUGAAGAUUUUUACAGGUGCUGCAUGGGCUGUCGUCAGCUCGUGUCGUGAGAUGUUAGUUAACUCCCUUUUAACGGGCGAAACCCCUUUUCU